CGAAUGCUGACAUAAGUAACGAUAAAGCGGGUGAAAAGCCCGCUCGCCGGAAGACCAAGGGUUCCUGUCCAACGUUAAUCGGGGCAGGGUGAGUCGACCCCUAAGGCGAGGCCGAAAGGCGUAGUCGAUGGGAAACAGGUUAAUAUUCCUGUACUUGGUGUUACUGCGAAGGGGGGACGGAGAAGGCUAUGUUGGCCGGGCGACGGUUGUCCCGGUUUAAGCGUGUAGGC
rnacentral:rRNA from 1 species